UGGGGAAUAUUGGACAAUGGGCGCAAGCCUGAUCCAGCCAUGCCGCGUGAGUGAUGAAGGCCCUAGGGUUGUAAAGCUCUUUCACCGGUGAAGAUAAUGACGGUAACCGGAGAAGAAGCCCCGGCUAACUUCGUGCCAGCAGCCGCGGUAAUACGAAGGGUGCUAGCGUUGUUCGGAUUUACUGGGCGUAAAGCGCACGUAGGCGGACUUUUAAGUCAGGGGUGAAAUCCCGGGGCUCAACCCCGGAACUGCCUUUGAUACUGGAAGUCUUGAGUAUGGUAGAGGUGAGUGGAAUUCCGGGUAGAGAGGUGAAAUUCGUAGAUAUUCGGAGGAACACCAGUGGCGAAGGCGGAUCACUGGACCAUUACUGACGCUGAGGUGCGAAAGCGUGGAGAGCAAACAGG
rnacentral:rRNA from 1 species